UGGGGAAUAUUGCACAAUGGGCGCAAGCCUGAUGCAGCCAUGCCGCGUGUAUGAAGAAGGCCUUCGGGUUGUAAAGUACUUUCAGCGGGGAGGAAGGGAGUAAAGUUAAUACCUUUGCUCAUUGACGUUACCCGCAGAAGAAGCACCGGCUAACUCCGUGCCAGCAGCCGCGGUAAUACGGAGGGUGCAAGCGUUAAUCGGAAUUACUGGGCGUAAAGCGCACGCAGGCGGUUUGUUAAGUCAGAUGUGAAAUCCCCGGGCUCAACCUGGGAACUGCAUCUGCUACUGGCAAGCUUGAGUCUCGUAGAGGGUGGUAGAAUUCCAGGUGUAGCGGUGAAAUGCGUAGAGAUCUGGAGGAAUACCGGUGGCGAAGGCGGCCCCCUGGACGAAGACUGACGCUCAGGUGCGAAAGCGUGGGGAGCAAACAGG
rnacentral:rRNA from 1 species